GAUGAACGCUGGCGGCGUGCCUAAUACAUGCAAGUCGAGCGAACAGACGAGGAGCUUGCUCCUCUGACGUUAGCGGCGGACGGGUGAGUAACACGUGGAUAACCUACCUAUAAGACUGGGAUAACUUCGGGAAACCGGAGCUAAUACCGGAUAAUAUAUUGAACCGCAUGGUUCAAUAGUGAAAGACGGUUUUGCUGUCACUUAUAGAUGGAUCCGCGCCGCAUUAGCUAGUUGUUAAGGUAACGGCUUACCAAGGCAACGAUGCGUAGCCGACCUGGGAGGGUGAUCGGCCACACUGGAACUGAGAAACGGUCCAGAGUCCUACGGGAGGCAGCAGUAGGGAAUCUUCCGCAAUGGGCGAAAGCCUGACGGAGCAACGAAGCGUGAGUGGUGAAGGUCUUCGGAUCGUAAAACUCUGUUAUUAGGGAAGAACAAAUGUGUAAGUAACUAUGCACGUCUUGACGGUACCUAAUCAGAAAGACACGGCUAACUACGUG
rnacentral:rRNA from 1 species